rnacentral:rRNA from 1 species
GACGAACGCUGGCGGCGUGCUUAACACAUGCAAGUCGAACGGAAAGGCCCUGCUUUUGUUGGGUGCUCGAGUGGCGAACGGGUGAGUAACACGUGAGUAACCUGCCCUUGACUUUGGGAUAACUUCAGGAAACUGGGGCUAAUACCGGAUAGGAGCUCCUGCUGCAUGGUGUGGGUUGGAAAGUUUCGGCGGUUGGGGAUGGACGCGCGGCUUAUCAGCUUGUUGGUGGAGUAGUGGCUUACCAAGGCUUUGACGGGUAGCCGGCCUGAGAGGGUGACCGGCCACAUUGGGCCUGAGAUACGGACCAGACUGCUACGGGAGGCAGCGGUGGGGAACAUUGCACAAUGGGCGGAAGCCUGAUGCAGCAACGCCGCGUGCGGGAUGACGGCCUUCGGGUUGUAAACCGCUUUCGCCUGUGACGAAGCGUGAGUGACGGUAAUGGGUAAAGAAGCACCGGCUAACUACGUG